ACGGGAGGCAGCAGUGAGGAAUAUUGGUCAAUGGGCGAGAGCCUGAACCAGCCAAGUCGCGUGAAGGAUGAAGGUUCUAUGGAUUGUAAACUUCUUUUGUUCGAGGGUAAAGUGAGUCACGUGUGAUUUGUUGCAAGUAUCGAACGGAUAAGCAUCGGCUAACUCCGUGCCAGCAGCCGCGGUAAUACGGAGGAUGCGAGCGUUAUCCGGAUUUAUUGGGUUUAAAGGGUGCGUAGGCGGGAUGUUAAGUCAGCGGUAAAAUAGUGUAGCUCACCUAUACCUCGCCGUUGAAACUGGCGUUCUUGAGUGUAAACGAGGUAGGAGGAAUGUGACGUGUAGCGGUGAAAUGCUUAGAUAUGUCACAGAACCCCGAUUGCGAAGGCAGCUUACCAGGAUACAACUGACGCUGAGGCACGAAAGCGUGGGUAUCAAACAGGAUUAGAUACCCUGGUA
rnacentral:rRNA from 1 species